UUGGUGGGGUGAUGGCCUACCAAGGCGACGACGGGGAGCCGGUCUGAUAGUGUGACCGGCCACACUGGAAAUGAGACACGGCCCAGACUCCUACGGGAGGCACCAAUGGGGAAUAUUGCACAAUGGGCGCAAGCCUGAUGCAGCGACGCCGCGUGAGGGAUGACGGCCUUCGGGUUGUAAACCUCUUUCAGUAGGGAAGAAGCCUUCGGGUGACGGUACCUGCAGAAGAAGCGCCGGCUAACUACGUGCCAGCAGCCGCGGUAAUACGUAGGGCGCAAGCGUUGUCCGGAAUUAUUGGGCGUAAAGAGCUCGUAGGCGGCUUGUCGCGUCGACUGUGAAAACCCGCGGCUCAACCGCGGGCCUGCAGCCGAUACGGGCAGGCUAGAGUUCGGUAGGGGAGACUGGAAUUCCUGGUGUAGCGGUGAAAUGCGCAGAUAUCAGGAGGAACACCGGUGGCGAAGGCGGGUCUCUGGGCCGAUACUGACGCUGAGGAGCGAAAGCGUGGGGAGCGAACAGGAUUAGAUACCCUGGUAGUCCACGCUGUAAACGUUGGGCGCUAGGUGUGGGGGACCUCUCCGGUUCUCUGUGCCGCAGCUAACGCAUUAAGCGCCCCGCCUGGGGAGUACGGCCGCAAGGCUAAAACUCAAAGGAAUUGACGGGGGCCCGCACAAGCGGCGGAGCAUGCGG
rnacentral:rRNA from 1 species